GUUGUAACUCAGUGGUAGAGCAUCUGCCUUUCCUGCAGGAAGACCUAGGUUCCGUCUCUGGCAUAUCCU